rnacentral:rRNA from 1 species
UACGAAGGGGGCUAGCGUUGCUCGGAAUCACUGGGCGUAAAGCGCACGUAGGCGGCUCGUUAAGUCGGGGGUGAAAUCCUGGAGCUCAACUCCAGAACUGCCCUCGAUACUGACGAGCUCGAGUCCGGGAGAGGUGAGUGGAACUGCGAGUGUAGAGGUGAAAUUCGUAGAUAUUCGCAAGAACACCAGUGGCGAAGGCGGCUCACUGGCCCGGUACUGACACUGAGAGACGAAAGCUAGGGGAGCAAAUGGG